GCGAUGUCUUGCGUAUUUUCACCUGUUCCUCAUAUAAGAAUCAACAAGAGACUCGCUCAAGUAAGCCUUGAAUGUUUUCCACAGUUUCAAUCCAUUCUCAUAGAUCAAUCAAACAACAACAUUCCUUUCACAAAACAUAAGACCAAAACAAAAAUCAUGAUUCCACAUAAUCUUAAACCCUAGUCGAGUAGAAGAAUCAUCCCACUUUUAACACAUGAGUCAAAUAAACCACAAAGUUACACUUCCUCAACUCUAAAUCCCUAAUUUUGGGGGAGAUUACUUCACUUCCAUCUCAUUAGACCUAAAGAUUGAACACAAAACAUUAAUAAAGUUGAUACCUUUAAGAGCUCGUUCUUCUC